rnacentral:rRNA from 1 species
UACGGAGGGUGCAAGCGUUGUCCGGAAUCAUUGGGCGUAAAGGGCGCGUAGGUGGCUUCUUAAGCGUGCGGUGAAAGCCUGGGGCUCAACCCCGGGUCGGCCGUGCGAACUGGGGGGCUGGAGCACUGUAGAGGCAGGCGGAAUUCCGGGUGUAGCGGUGGAAUGCGUAGAGAUCCGGAAGAACACCGGUGGCGAAGGCGGCCUGCUGGGCAGUUGCUGACACUGAGGCGCGACAGCGUGGGGAGCAAACAGG